rnacentral:rRNA from 1 species
CUUAUUACUGUCUGCACAUCCUACUUGGAUAACUGUGGUAAUUCUAGAGCUAAUACAUGCAUWARAGCAUCUGACCUCACGGGAAGAGUGCAUUUAUUAGAACAAAACCAAGCGGCUUCGGCUGUUUCUGGUUGACUCAUAGUAACUGAGCUGAUCGCAUGGUCUUGCACCGGCGACGUGUCUUUCAAGUAUCUGCCGUAUCAACUUUCGAUGGUAGUGUAUCUGACUACCAUGGUGAUCACGCGUAACGGAGAAUAAGGGUUCGGCUCCGGAGAGUUCGCCUGAGAAAUCGCGAACACAUCUAAGGAAGGCAGCAGGCGCGAAAAUUACCCACUCUCAGCACGAGGAGGUAGUGACGAAAAAUAACGAGACCGUUCUCUUAUGAGGCCGGUCAUCGGAAUGGGUACAAUUUAAACCCUUUAACGAGUAUCUAUGAGAGGGCAAGUCUGGUGCCAGCAGCCGCGGUAAUUCCAGCUCUCAAAGUGCAUAGAAUUAUUGCUGCGGUUAAAAAGCUCGUAGUUGGAUCUGUGCCAUAGGACGUGGUCCACCUUCGGGUGCGUACUACGCUCCUAGGCUUUUUGCUGGUUUUCCCGUCGUAGCCUUCACUGGUUGCGGCGGGUGGCUGGCGAGUUUACUUUGAGAAAAUCAGAGUGCUCAAUACAGGCGUAUCGCUUGAAUGAUUGUGCAUGGAAUAAUAGAAAAGGAUUUCGGUCCUCUUUUAUUGGUUUUGUGGACUGAGAUAAUGGUUAACAGGGACAAACGGGGGCAUUCGUAUCUCUGCGUGAGAGGUGAAAUUCUUGGACCGUAGAGAGACGCCCUACUGCGAAAGCAUUUGCCAAGAAUGUCUUCAUUAAUCAAGAACGAA